rnacentral:rRNA from 1 species
AUGCAACAUCGCGUUGAGCCCUGGAAAGGGUGCUGGUUGUCGAAGGCUGCUCAUGUGAUCCUCAUCAACUCCUCGCUCGCCAGCCUUCUCUGGUUCCUCAUGAGCUUCUAUAGCCUUCAUGAGACGCUCCAUAAGGAAAUUGCUAAGUACCAGUCCAGAUUCUUCUGGGCUGGCAAGGAUGACAAGCAAAAGUACCACAUGGUGAGCUGGCCGGACAUCUGCAAACCCAAGGACCAGGGUGGUCUUGGGAUUUUGUCCUCCCUGUGCAUGAACAUUGCCCUCCUGACCCGUUGGCUCUAGCGCAUUGCUAAUGGCGACAGAGGCGUUUGGCUC